GCAGUGUGGAGAAUGGAUUGGAGGGGUCAGAAUGAAUGUAGAGAGAAUUCAAAGGCUCCUGCAGGAGUCCAAGCAAGAGGAUUGCAGAUUGUAGCCUGGAAGAGGCCAGUAGCUGUGGUGACAAUGGACACCAGGUGUGAGCCACCGCACCUGGCCAAUAGUGGGUAUUAAAAGAUAAACAAGUCUUAAUGCUCAAAGUAUGUUAAAAAUAGAUGUAGUAAAACAAUCCGUCUACAAAUGUUCUUUUGUUAUAUUUUAGGAGGCCUGUCUUCUGGGAGUGACCUUUGUUAUUCCACCUCUUGGAGCUAGGCAUAGUCCUAUACCUAGUCACUGGGAUGGUGGAAGAGGGAGAAAAGGAAGGAUGAAGGAAAGAGCUAUUUGCUAGUAUCUCCACAUCUAGAAGAUGGUUUUAGAUGAUAACCAUAGGUCUACAUGAGCAUUUUUAGUAAAGUGCUUGUGUGUAAUUCUGGACAAAGUUUAUUAUUUUGCACUAUCUAAGCUUUAUGAAUGUCCUGGGGUGAUAAUGUGUGAUAAAAAGUAGAACUAGUGAAUUAGCCAAUUUGUAAAUUUUUUCUUGUUAUAAUUUAUAGAAAAGAUGCAACUUGGACAUGGAACUGUUAAACCAUCUCUGAGCUUUGUAUGCCAGGACUUGUUCAUUAGGUUGGCAGCAGAGCAGCAAAAGGAAGUAUAAAGAGAGAGAUGUAUGCAGAUGUGUCGAUAUUUACAUUUUGAUGAUAGCCAUUGUUGUAUGUGCAUCUCUUUUAGCUGUACUAUAGGAAUACAUUAGGUAUUUCAAUGAAAACAUACCUUGCUAAUAUUUGAAUAGUAUAGAUCUGCUAAUGGAUUCUCUUAGAAACAUUAUACUUAGUGUAUUCUAUUGCUGUAUAUUUCAUUUUAAAGUGAGCACUAAAGGAAUGCGGUAUUUUAAUAAAAACUCUGCCAACGCUUUUACUUAGAGGCGUGUUGCCAAUUUUUGUCUUUUAUGAAAAUUUGGCCCAAGAAAGGCAGGAUUACAUUGUUUUUCCAACAGAUUGAGUGGGUGUAGUGUAUUCUUGAUGAUCAAAAUACUCAUAUAGCUUUGAGAUUUUGAAUUGGUAAAUACUCAAGAUGUGUGAAAAAGCAUGAUACAUACUAUAUGAUCUCAGUCCCAUAAAAUUGACUAUUGUAUCUACACCCACACAGGACCUAGAAGGACAUGUUAAACUGUAAACUGCUUGUGAUUGUGGAUGACCUUUUUCGUUGCUUCUUGUGUUUUUCAGUUUCCUAUAAUGCACAUAGUAACUUAAAAAAAUAAAGAUUAUUUUUGAAACCUAAAAAAAAGAGGUUACAGAAUUGAAUACUCCCUGAGAUAAGGUAAAAUCAUCUUAUGCUAACGGUUGCAAGAUAAUGGUAUAAGUAAGCUUUCGUCGUACAUAUCAAUGAACUUUAAGAUUUGGAAGACAAAAUUCAGUUUAUGUAUUCAAUUAAAUGUGCUCAGAUUGUAUUGUGCUAGAUAGGCACAUUAUUCUAACAUAAUAUGAAUGAAUCAAUAAAAUCCUUAUAAUACUGA
ensembl:lncRNA novel transcript